rnacentral:pre_miRNA from 1 species
UGUAACACCAUGUCGGGCAUUGCGUAGGCGUUGUGCACAGUGUUCUUUAAAUUACAAUUGUGCAUCUCAUCCACGUAAAUCACGGCACUGGUCACUAAUC